GCAAAGCCUCUCCAUGGCC
rnacentral:misc_RNA from 1 species